rnacentral:rRNA from 1 species
ACGGCUACCUUGUUACGACUUAGCCCCAGUCAUCGGUUUUGCCCUAGGGCGCUGCUCGCGCUCACGCACUUCAGGCACUCCCGACUCCCAUGGCUUGACGGGCGGUGUGUACAAGGCCCGGGAACGUAUUCACCGCGCCGUGGCUGAUGCGCGAUUACUAGCGAAUCCAGCUUCAUGGAGUCGGGUUGCAGACUCCAAUCCGAACUGAGACAGGCUUUCGGGUUCCGCUCCCUGUCGCCAGGUGGCUUCCCGCUGUACCUGCCAUUGUAACACGUGUGUCGCCCCGGACGUAAGGGCCGUGCUGAUUUGACGUCAUCCCCGCCUUCCUCGCAGCUUGCGCCGGCAGUCCCGCCAGAGUCCCCAGCUUUGCCUGUUGGCAACUGGCGGUAGGGGUUGCGCUCGUUAUGGCACUUAAGCCGACACCUCACGGCACGAGCUGACGACAACCAUGCAGCACCUCGUCGCAGGUCCGUAGACGGGCAUCCUUUCAGACACCCUUCCUGCAACGUUUGAGCCCGGGUAAAGUUCCUCGCGUAUCAU